CACGUAGGGCGCAAGCGUUGUCCGGAAUUAUUGGGCGUAAAGAGCUCGUAGGCGGUCUGUUGCGUCCGCUGUGAAAACUCGGGGCUUAACCCCGAGCCUGCAGUGGAUACGGGCAGACUAGAGGUAGGUAGGGGAGAAUGGAAUUCCCGGUGUAGCGGUGAAAUGCGCAGAUAUCAGGAGGAACACCGGUGGCGAAGGCGGUUCUCUGGGCAUUACCUGACGCUGAGGAGCGAAAGUGUGGGGGAGCGAACAGG
rnacentral:rRNA from 1 species